CUCCAAGGCAGUUUUAAUAGCCAUUACUUCUGCCAUUUCCAAUCCAACGGCAUUAAUCGACCAAAAAAAAAAAGGAACGGGCAACUUUUUUCCCAUCUCGCAACAUCCCACCACAUCCUGCUUCGUCCUCCUUAGCAACACCUACCACGUUGAACUCCUCCCACCUGUGGGAGGUGGAGUCCAAUGAAUAACUAAAGCAUUGGCUUUACUUCUCGAAGGGCUGCAUUUCGCAAGGUAAAACCACCAUGAACCCUCCAGAAAUUGAAUGUCAUCAUGAAUCGCCCUUGCCCUCAUCAGAGAUUGCAUUUUGGAAUGAAACAACAACUUAUCAAGUGACAUCAAUGUUUUGUUGAACAUAACACUUUAUCGUUUUAAUUUAUGAAUUUUUAGAUUUUAAUUUUAAAUCUCAUCAAAUUUUAUUCCGAUGAAUUACCAAUUUGAAUUCAGUUUGUGAUUGUAAUGAUUGAUAUUGAUAUAUAGCUAUGAAAUAUAAUUGUAAUAUUUUGUAACUUUAAAAAGAUUUUAUACCUAAAUUUGAAUUUUUAGGAUCUUAUAUGUAUUUUUGACAAGUUGGUGUACAAUGCUACAUAAACAAACUCGAUUGUCUUUCUUUUCAUCAAUUUUAGAUAGACUUUGUAAUUUUGACAUGAUAUAAAG
rnacentral:lncRNA from 1 species